UGACCGCCUGAGGGAGCAGUAGUGCGCGCCGUGUUCUUUAAACUCGAAGGAACAAACAAACAGUGCGACUAAAACAACACGUUAAAAGUGAAGCAAAAUUGUAUCCUAUAAGCUAAAUUAGUACGUACAAUAACGUGUUAAAAGCAAUCGAAAUCGAAGUAAACAACAAAGAGACGAAGCACAUUGUUAAACAACAGGAAAAGGUCCAACAGGGCCUUUUUCUUUUGGUUUCGACUGGUUCUUCGUCCCCAGGUUACCGACAACUCCGGACAGAAAAGCACACACAAGAUCGAACUAGACCCAAAAUUUGACCUCGAGUGUGACAUAACCUAGCCUCGGAACGAAGCGUGUGCAGAAGUCCAAAAACCACACCUUCCGACUGAAACCAGCAGAAUGCCACCUCGGAAACCAAGUUGCCAACAUCGAGUCGAC